rnacentral:rRNA from 1 species
UACGUAGGGUGCGAGCGUUGUCCGGAUUCAUUGGGCGUAAAGAGCGUGUAGGCGGCCUGAAAGGUCAGCUGUGAAAACUCGAGGCUCAACCUCGAGACGUCGGUUGAAACCAUCUGGCUAGAGUCCGGAAGAGGAGUGUGGAAUUCCCGGUGUAGCGGUGAAAUGCGCAGAUAUCGGGAAGAACACCCGUGGCGAAGGCGGCACUCUGGGACGGUACUGACGCUGAGACGCGAAAGCGUGGGGAGCGAACAGG